rnacentral:rRNA from 1 species
AAGAAGGCCCUAUGGAUUGUAAACUGCUUUUAUUUGGGAAAAAACCCCUUUACGUGUACAGGGCUGAAAGGACCAAACGAAUAAAGACCGGCUAACUUCGCGCCAGCAGCCGCGGCAAUACGGAGGGUGCAAGCGUUAUCCGGAUUCAUUGGGUUUAAAGGGUACGCAGGCCGAUCUAUAAGUCAAUGGUGAAAGCCUACAGCUUAACUGUAAAACUGCCAUUGAUACUGGACGGCUUGAAUUCAGUCGAAGUGAGCGGAAUGUGUCAUGUAGCGGUGAAAUGCAUAGAUAUGACACAGAACACCGCUUGCGAAGGCAACUCACUAAGCCUGAACUGACGCUCAGGGACUAAAGCGUGGGGAGCGAACAGGAUUAGAUACCCUGGUAGUGCACGCCGCAAACGAUAAUUACUCGAUAUUGGCGAUAUACUGUCAGUGCCUAAGCGAAAGCGAUAAGUAAUGCACCUGGGGAGUACGAAGGCCAGG